rnacentral:rRNA from 1 species
AUGCACAAUUGGAUGACAUCCGACACGUGCUACAAGUCUUCUUCCUCUUCGUCAUCUUCAAGGCAGAGACGCUCAAGUCGCAAGUCUUCGGAGCGGCCACAAGAUGCAAGUACCACGCGGCACCGUCAAGAAAAUCUUCAUGAGUACAAGAGGAGACCGAGAGACGAGCACCACCACGAGCAAGCUACGGCUACCACCUCCACUUCGGCAUCUUCGCCUAGUGUUAUCAUGGCAUCUUCGCCUUUGGACGUACGGCAUCUUCGCCUACCUCCGACGAGUAUGCCUACAUGGGCCUUCAUCCACGGUGACGGUGACGGGAUGAUCGAGCAUGGGAUUUUCCCUUCGGUCAUGGAGGAGAGCAAUGAUGUGCCAUCGUCGGCCUUCAUCCACGAAGAGAGGGUUGAGCAUGGGAUUUUCCCUUCGACCACGGCGACGUAUGAUGACUUGAGUGACUUUUGCCACCAUAUUGAGAGUGAGAGUGACUUCACCACUAGCCCCAUAUAUGAUGAGCUGCCCCAAUUACCAUGUGAGGAGAGCCACCACCACCACCACUUGAGUGAUUUGAGUGAUUCCACCAUAUGUGACACUGAGUGCACCUACCUUGAGGGAGUGAGUGAGCCACCACCACAUAGAGAGAGCGAGGUAGUUGAUAGGGCAUGUGAGGCCAUUUUGAUUUCUAACAACUUAACCUCUACCUCUAUUGUGUCUUCUCAUUUGGUGAUAGGUCCCAUAUAUGAUGAUGAGCCGAUCCUCGACGACUUCGUCCUACCUUUGGACAAGACGAUGGCCACGGUGGAAUAUGAUGCACCCCCCACAUGGUUCCAUCAAGAUGAAGAUGAUGACCACCAUUUGGUCUUUGCCACCUCACCUACACCACUUGAGUGGAAUGAACAAGGUCUUGCAAGGUGGUACCAUCAUGAGCUAUCUUCAUCAUGGGAAGGCAUACACGUUGCACGGCACCAACAUCUUAGAGCACCUCACCAAGCGACAAGGCAUCAAUUCCUACCGUGUACAUGGCGAUACGGUUUACGAUCCGAGGUCGGAUCUCUCCCAAGGGGGAGAGGAUGA